CCUCCCCGAGGACCCAGAGUUUCAUACACAACUGGAUCAGGACAGAGGAUUUGACACUUUUGGCGGUGUCUAAACCCCGCUAACGGAGCAGAGCCCCCAAUCCGGAUGCGGCAAUCUUGUCUGUCGCGUACACACGACGGGUCGGAGCCUGACACACGCAAAGCUGAAGGCGAGCGUGGCGAACGCGAUUGCACUCACGAGUCUACUGCAAAACAGCUGCCUACGCUGCUCUGCCCGUGUAUGGUCUGACACCCCGUAGAACGCAUCAGCUUCGUCGGGGGAAGAGAGAAGGGAAAUACCCACGGUAAAAGAUAACAGCUGCAGGCAGGCAUCGCAUCGUCAAGCAGUGGUUGGUUACGCGUGGUCGGCCACGUGUGGCAGAUAAAAAUCGAUGGUAUGAGUUCAGAUUUGCCUGCUUCGUUUCCAGAUACUUCGUGCACUGUCUUUUGCGGCAAGGCCGUCACCUCCUGUUCGGACUACUCCGAGGUAGAUCAACGACGUUGUCGAGCUGACAGUAACCCUGUGGAGUGUUGUGCCGUGAGUUCUUUCCGCUGAAUGAAGCAAGCAACAGAGAGAGGGAACCUCUCCUGUCUGAGGAGGCGGAAGGACUUCGCGUGGACGGUGACUACUGGGGAAUCUUGGCAGGCUUGAACGUGGAAAAGGUCUGUCCCCUUCAAAAGGGCUGAAGUAGACUUUGUUGCCCCCAGGACGGCCUUUAUCAUCAAUUUGUCCCACGCCCUUAAAUGCCUUCGCAAACUCAGGAUGCAUCGAUGUGAAACGGUCUUCGCUGGGCCCGCAUCAGUGCUGUACUGGGAUGCACAGCUGUUUUGGAGAGGGGCUGGGAAAGAUAUUGAUGGCUCCGUUCCCUGCACAGAAAAAAAUGUCUUUUUUCGAGCGUGCGUUAUGGUUUUUUUACAAAAGGUGUUUGAUACACUUUCUCGAGGACAAAACUGGAUAGAUAGGGAUAGAUAGAGGUGAAAAAGCUGUGAUUUCGCUGCAACGGGCUGUCACUUCGUGGGUGAUCUUUCGCGAGGAGAAUGAGCAUUCAGAGCGGUGUUAUCCGCAGGCCGUACCACGGGAAGAAGGAUGGCUAGGAUCUGCAUCAACGGAUUGCGAUGUUUGAGUAAGUGCACAGCCCGUGGACGAGUUGGUAGUGUAUGACCUGACAUGCAGUGACGGGAUAAGAGCACUCGAGCGUCCACGGUUGUUGAAGAUGGGAGGUGUUGUACGCCACGAAUGAGUUAAGUGGGAUAUAGGAACUGGUGCUACAGUGGCAGACAGCCACAUAUGAAAUAUCUCCUGCGAAAUGAACGGCAGCGGUGGUGGUGCGCCGUACACACUUUGUACACACCGUCUACGAACAGGUUCCGCUGCCACUCACGAACUUACGAAAGGGCUAAGAAUUUCGCCCCCCGACGUUGGGUAACGAAACGGCCUCUGUUCUUGAGACAGCGGCGGAGGUUUGCCCUUCGCUGCCCUCAGGCUUCUGAAUCAGACGUGCAGUCCCCGGAGUUCUUUUUAGGAGGAAUGUAAAACACCGGAUACAGCAGCUACUGCAAUCUGUUAACUAUGUGGGCAUGGAAAGCGUCCUUUUUACGACGCGGGUGAAGCCCGGGAACUCGUGAGUUUCGGAGUCUUCGGCAAAGCGCUCCAAAGAUAAUUUUCGUCACAAGCACAGCUGGAGCUAAAGACGAGGCCUCACUUGCUCCGUACCGUGGCCGUUUAUUGCUCGUCUAGCAACGGGCGCUGACUCGUCCAAUGCGUAAAAUCUAGUCCCGUCCAGCGACCGCAGGAGAUGCUGGGUGCCAAGUCUGUACACAACGAUACCGAGGCGUUGGAGGCGUUUUAAAAACUUCUUUUAAAAUGUUCCGCGAGGCCCGCCAAUCCCAAAGUGUGC
rnacentral:lncRNA from 1 species